rnacentral:rRNA from 1 species
GAUCCUCACUCAGGAUGAACGCUAGCUACAGGCUUAACACAUGCAAGUCGAGGGGCAGCAUGAACUUAGCUUGCUAAGUUUGAUGGCGACCGGCGCACGGGUGAGUAACACGUAUCCAACCUGCCGAUGACUCGGGGAUAGCCUUUCGAAAGAAAGAUUAAUACCCGAUGGCAUAGUUCUUCCGCAUGGUAGAACUAUUAAAGAAUUUCGGUCAUCGAUGGGGAUGCGUUCCAUUAGGUUG